rnacentral:rRNA from 1 species
UACGGAGGAUGCGAGCGUUAUCCGGAUUUAUUGGGUUUAAAGGGUGCGUAGGCGGGUUAUCAAGUCAGCGGUAAAAUCGUGGAGCUCAACUCCAUCCAGCCGUUGAAACUGGCAGUCUCGAGUUGGAGAGAAGUAAGCGGAAUGCGUGGUGUAGCGGUGAAAUGCAUAGAUAUCACGCAGAACGCCGAUUGCGAAGGCAGCUUACCGGCGCGCAACUGACGCUCAUGCACGAAAGCGUGGGUAUCGAACAGG